GACGAACGCUGGCGGCGUGCUUAACACAUGCAAGUCGAGCGGUAAGGCCCUUUCGGGGGUACGACGAGCGGCGAACGGGUGAGUAACACGUGGGUGACCUGCCCUCCAGCUCUGGGAGUAAGCCUGGGAAACCGGGGUACUAAUACUGGAUAUGACUCCAUGACGCAUGUUGUGGGGUGGAAAGCCUUGUGCGGCUGAGGAUGGGCCCGCGGCCUAUCAGCUUGUUGGUGGGGUGAUGGCCUACCAACGCGACGACGGGUAGCCGGCCUGAGAGGGCGACCGGCCACACUGGGACUGAGACACGGCCCAGACUCCUACGGGAGG
rnacentral:rRNA from 1 species